CAGCCGUAAACUAUGCGCGUUAGGUGUAUCGGUGACCACGAGUUACCGAGGUGCCGAAGGGAAACCGUGAAACGUGCCGCCUGGGAAGUACGGUCGCAAGGCUGAAACUUAAAGGAAUUGGCGGGGGGAGCACAACAACGGGUGGAGCCUGCGGUUUAAUUGGACUCAACGCCGGACAACUCACCGGGGACGACAGCAAUAUGUAGGCCAGGCUGAAGACCUUGCCUGAAUCGCUGAGAGGAGGUGCAUGGCGUAGACGUCU
rnacentral:rRNA from 1 species